UUGAAAUUGACGUACGUACCUGGUGUUUCCAAAAGGUGAGGAUACCUCGCUUUUAUUUUUUGAUUUCAACUCCCAGGUCAUUUCUUCAUAGCAUGGUUCCUCCAUAAAACAUUGACUUGUGGUAUAACCUUUAUGCGUAGGACAUACUCCUUUAGAUCUUGACUGAUACUUCCUCUUCGGUAAUCUCAUCUGGUUCUAACUCAAUAAUGUGGUUCGGGUCGUCCACAUAUUUUCGUAACAUCGAUACGUGAAAAAUGUUAUGAACACGCGACAUACUUGGCGGUAAAAUGAGUCUAUAGGCCACAAUUCCUAUUCGAUCGAGGAUUUCAAAUGGACUAAUAAAUCGAAGGUUUGAGUUUUCCUCUCUUCAUCAAAUCUUACUUCUAGAAUAACGCCUUCUUGCAUCUUCUUCUUUAUAUCCAUCAGCUCCGGUGUGUAGCUUGAACAGUUUUAACUUUAUCGAUUAAAGUCGGUUCUACUCGUAUAUUAUCACGUGGGUCCCUAGAG
rnacentral:lncRNA from 1 species